UAUCUCUCCGUACGGGGAAGGAUGAGAAGCUUCGACUAAGGUUCGAUUCGAGCGAAAGCGAGAAAGCGUUGCCGCAGGCAACGACCCGAAGGGCGAAGCGCGCAGCGCUGAGUCAUCCUUCCCCCCUCAUCC
rnacentral:sRNA from 7 species